CGUGGGGAGGGGACGGGGGGGGGCGAGUUGGCAUGUUCGGUUGCUGUUGUGUAGCCGCCGCCAGUGGCUUCCCAACAGGAAUGCGGCGAGGUUAGUGCAUGCGUGGGGCUUCUGGCUGUGUGGUUGGAGCGGGGAUCCGAGGCGCUGGUGGAAUAAAAGCCAGGAGCGACGGGAGAGAGAUGCUGAUGGGCUGCCGGCUAAUCAAAGGAUACUAAAGCCGAGUGCAGUUCCUGUGUAGAAACUGAGGACAGAAAAAAUGAGCAAAGAGAAGAUGUGGUAGCCUGUUCAUGAAGUGAGCACAUGAAGGAUGUAAUACAAAGCUAGCUUGAUGGAUUUGGUGGUAAGUAGGUGAAUUUUUGUGGGGUGCUGCUUUUGAAAAUUGAGUUCAUUUUAUUUUUAUAACAGUCAUGAUUGAAACUCUUCAGAAAAGGAAUUCUAUUAAUAUUUUCAAAACACAAGUGACUAUGUUACUAAUCUAAAAAGUACACCACAAACG
rnacentral:lncRNA from 1 species